rnacentral:lncRNA from 1 species
GGCGCACACAGGAGGUGCUUUAGCAGCGCAGGGCUCCUCCGAGGAUGUGAAUUUGGAGUAGCAAUUAGGACGAAUAGUCCGGAAGACGAGCAGAGGGAGCAAGCGUACGCCAGAGAAGGAAGGCCACAGCUAUUGCUCCAUGGGUGGGGAACAAGAAGAAAGAGGGAGAUGUCAGGAAAUACAGUGAAGGGACAGGCGGAGACCUCCCAGGACCUGGAACUGCGAGGAGAGUGGAUGCCCGGGCGAGAGCAGGGGCAGAGGCCGAUGAAGAGCUGCCCACAGCUGUGAUUCCGGGGCUUUCUGAGGCGGGAGCCGGAGGGUCCCAAGGUCAGGUCUGGUUUGGGCAACUUGGUGACUUGGCGAGAUCUUG